UCUCUAAUAUAUACAGUACUGUGGUCAGGUCUGAUGGUAUCUAUGAUAUAUACAGUACUCUGUAAAGCCUCUACUCCUGUCUGUGGUCAGGUCUGAUGGUAUCUAUGAUAUAUACAGUACUCUGUAAAGCCUCUACUCCUGUCUGUGGUCAGGUCUGAUGGUAUCUAUGAUAUAUACAGUACUCUGUAAAGCCUCUACUCCUGUCUGUGGUCAGGUCUGAUGGUAUCUAUGAUAUAUACAGUACUCUGUAAAGCCUCUCCUCCUGUCUGUGGUCAGGUCUGAUGGUAUCUAUGAUAUAUACAGUACUCUGUAAAGCCUCUCCUCCUGUCUGUGGUCAGGUCUGAUGGUAUCUAUGAUAUAUACAGUACUCUGUAAAGCCUGUCCUCCUGUCUGUGGUCAGGUCUGAUGGUGUGGACCAGUGCUGGUCUGGUAGUCAUGGUGACAGUGUUAGGACUGGUCCUGCUCCUGUUCUACAGACAGAGGAGAGGAACCAGGAGAACACCACCACCACCACCACCACCAGUCUCCUCCAACACACAAUCUGACCCUACUGGAGAGGUUGACUGUGUGUAUGAGGAGAUCAGAGAGGCAGACAGACAGACAGACACACUUCCUGUGGUCAUCUCUUCAGUUAACUCCACUGUCAACUCACCUACCAACUCUACAACCUACCCUGCUGGCCAAGCAAUCGGUGUCCCACACUGUGACAUCUAUGCUAACGCUAGCUGCCACAAAGAUGAUAUAAAUCCAAGUUAUUCUACUGCAGAUCACCCAGAUUCUCUCAUCUACUCCAAUGUGGAUCUACCUACAGAUUCUAGAGUCUCCUCAAGUCCUUCAACAGCCAGUGGAACCCAGGAUGAUUCCAUCUAUUCUACAGCUCAGCUACCCAAAGAUACUGUAGAAUAAACAAGAUACCCUGCUGUACACCUCUCUAAAGACACUCCAGAAGAUUCCCUCUACUCUACAGCCCAGCUACCCAAAAUAAUAUAGUACUUUUGAAUCUCUACAAGGGAUACAUCCCAAAUGACACCCUAUUAUCUAUCCCCCAUAUGGACCCUGGACAAAGGCAGUGCUCUAUAGAGAACAAGGUGCCAUCUGGGAUGAAGAGAAGCUCCCUGUAGAGAGACGAAGGGUUGUCACCACAGAGCCGCCAUCUUGGAACGACAUUAAAAAACAAUCCCUUUCCUGUUUCAAAUCCUCCUUGACAUAUUGUAUUAAAACAGCUCAUGUAGUUUUACUGAAUAUAAUGUCUGUAACAUAUGAACAUCUGGCUUUAAAAUCACUUUUAUCUCCAGAUUUUGUGAAAGUCAACCAACAUUAUUGUAAAUACUUGUGUAAAUAUGAACUAUGUGUUUUGUCAAAUCUUGUCUUCAUUUAGGCUGUUAUAAUAAUGAAGACAGUAAUACCAUUAUAGUCCGUUCUACCUUUGAGAUUUACAUAUCUAUUGUGUAUGUAUAUACACUGUGCCUUUUAAAGCAUUUCAUUAAAACAUCAAAAUAG